GCCCCCGUGGCCUAAUGGCUAAGGCGUGAGACUUCUAAUCUCAAGAUUGCGGGUUCGAGUCCCGCCGGGGGUU
rfam:Villosiclava virens strain TV-8b Sca_14, whole genome shotgun sequence.